rnacentral:rRNA from 1 species
CCCCUUAUGAUCUGGGCUACACACGUGCUACAAUGGCGUAAACAAAGGGAGGCAAAGCCGCGAGGUGGAGCAAAUCCCNAAAAUAACGUCUCAGUUCGGACUGCAGUCUGCAACUCGACUGCACGAAGCUGGAAUCGCUAGUAAUCGCGAAUCAGAAUGUCGCGGUGAAUACGUUCCCGGGUCUUGUACACACCGCCCGUCACACCAUGGGAGUUGGUAACGCCCGAAGUCAGUGACCCAACCUUUCAGGAGGGAGCUGCCGAAGGCGGGACU